rnacentral:lncRNA from 1 species
AUGGUAAGUUUAUUUACAGUUUUCCUAAGUUUAUUUACAGCUGUCACAGUUGCAAGUUUGACAUGUACAAUGUACAUGAGUUUGGAGUUGUGUUUUAUGUGCCCAUUAAAUGUUGGCUCUACCACUGUUUUGCUCUUGAUAUCCUCUGACAUUUGCACUGGUUUCUUGCAUAGGGCUCAACUGGUUUCCCAGGAUUUCCAGGUGCCAAUGGAGAGAAAGGUGCAAGGGGAUUGCAUGGCAAACCAGGCCCCAGAGGACAGCGAGGACCAACAGGUCCAAGAGGCUCAAGAGGUCCCAGGGGUCCCACUGGUAAACCAGGUCCAAAGGUAA